GUGAAUCAUCAAAUUUUUGAACGCAAAUUGCACUCUCCUCUGAUAGUAGGCCUGUUUGAGGGUCAGCCGAUAAAAUUCGACAUCGUUGCUGUUUCGCGGUGGCGUUCGUCGUAAAGUGGGUCAUCUUAAAUCCUUUUGAUUUAAGCGACUUAAAAUUUUCUUUUUGUUCCAUGUAUGUUUCUAUGAUCUAUUUCUUUACACGUUUAAGGUGUCGAUGUUUACUAGACUUGACCAUCAUAUCGUAUCGCGUCCAUAAUCUUUCAUUAACUGACCUCAGACAGGUAAGAGUACCCGCUGCA
rnacentral:misc_RNA from 1 species